UCCGCCGGCAGGGAAGGUUUUUUGCCGCCGCACCUGGUCCCGGGAGUAAAAAAAGACCGCUGUGCCGGCGUGCGCGGCGUGAUCGGCGAGCGAGCGGGCCACUGCGUCAGUGAUCGGCGUCUGGUGCGCUCUCGCUGCGACGUGCUCGCACGUUGAGCGCAGACGCUUUCCUCAACGCGUGUGCGAGUGCACUUGUGGCACGUACCGCCCGAGUUCGCCUCGGAAAAAAAAAAAAAAAAGAAAAGAAGAGCGCGGCCCAGUGCGAUCCGCCAGCGUUGGAGUUUGCCGAUGACGCCGCUGAAGAAAAACGGCGACAAGCACAAGUCGUCGUGCAGACGAUACGGCUUGUGACUCUGCAGGCGUAUCGCAGAAGCGUCAAAAUUACGGAGGCGCGAAAAAUAACUAGUGGAACCAGCGAUACCGCUGCGUAGGACUCCCAGCCACGGAGGCCAGCCCGGGAUAAAUUGGUACAUGUUUCCUGGCACGCCACACGAACUAGAAUGGCAAAAUAAAUGGAUCGCAGCUGUGAGGGGAGUUAACUGCAGAUGGUUCCGAAUGGGUCCCAAACGAAUCAACCAGGAAAUGCUCUAAUCAAUUCGUCAAUGAAGAAAAAAAACUCAAUGAAAAAUCAUCCUCGCAACAACCCGACGCUUCUUCUGGGCGUUUACAAAGUGCGGCAAGUUGACGAGAAUAAUCUGACGAAUAAAAAG